rnacentral:rRNA from 1 species
GUAAGGAAUAUUGGUCAAUGGAGGCAACUCUGAACCAGCCAUGCCGCGUGCAGGAAGACAGCCCUACGGGUCGUAAACUGCUUUUAUUCGGGAAUAAACCUCCGCUCGUGAGCGGAGUUGAAUGUACCGAAAGAAUAAGGAUCGGCUAACUCCGUGCCAGCAGCCGCGGUAAUACGGAGGAUCCAAGCGUUAUCCGGAUUUAUUGGGUUUAAAGGGUGCGUAGGCGGCCUAUUAAGUCAGGGGUGAAAGACGGUGGCUCAACCAUCGCAGUGCCCUUGAUACUGACAGGCUUGAUUACACUAGAGGUAGGCGGAAUGUGACAAGUAGCGGUGAAAUGCAUAGAUAUGUCACAGAACACCAAUUGCGAAGGCAGCUUACUAUGGUGUCAAUGACGCUGAGGCACGAAAGCGUGGGGAUCAAACAGGAUUAGAUACCCCGGUAGUCC